UUAAUUUGCAUGCACCUGCUCUGGA
rnacentral:piRNA from 1 species